UCCGUAGGUGAACCUGCGGAAGGAUCAUUACCGAGUGCGGGCCCUCUGGGUCCAACCUCCCAUCCGUGUCUAUUGUACCCUGUUGCUUCGGCGUGGCCGGCUUUCCCCCCCGGGGGGAGCCACCAGUGCCCGCCGGAGACUCCAACAUCUGAACACUAUCUGAAGAUUGCAGUCUGAGUUUAUAGUUAAACAAUCGUUAAAACUUUCAACAACGGAUCUCUUGGUUCCGGCAUCGAUGAAGAACGCAGCGAAAUGCGAUAACUAAUGUGAAUUGCAGAAUUCAGUGAAUCAUCGAGUCUUUGAACGCACAUUGCGCCCCCUGGUAUUCCGGGGGGCAUGCCUGUCCGAGCGUCAUUGCUGCCCUCAAGCACGGCUUGUGUGUUGGGCCACCGUCCCGGGAACUUCUGGUCCCUGGGACGGGCCCGAAAGGCAGCGGCGGCACCGUGUCUGGUCCUCGAGCGUAUGGGGCUUUGUCACCCGCUCCCGUAGGUCCAGCCGGCGGCCAGCCUCGCAACCAACCAUUCUUUAACCAGGUUGACCUCGGAUCAGGUAGGGAUACCCGCUGAACUUAAGCAUAUCAAUAAGCGGAGGA
rnacentral:rRNA from 1 species